GGUGUGGCACCCUCGUCGUCCAGCAACGGCUCCCGACCCACGCCAACCGCCGGACGGAGCGAUGGGUCCAUUAGGCCUCGGCGCCUCGGUUUGAUGGUGACAUGGGCAAAGCACCCGUUACUACCAAUUCAGCGGGUCCCACACGCCAAGCCCCGCUCGUUACCCAUGUAAUGGACUUUCAUCCUUACCACAAACCCGACAGAUAAACAGAGGCCCAGGGAGCUGAAGUUUUCCCAGCAUUUCCCGUUGGAAUUCUCUCCUCCACCCUGAGGAAUGAGACCAAGGGCUCCUUUGAUUGGAACUGGAGGGGACAUGGGUUCGAUCCCU